rnacentral:rRNA from 1 species
AACGAACGCUGGCGGCAGGCUUAACACAUGCAAGUCGAACGCCCCGCAAGGGGAGUGGCAGACGGGUGAGUAACGCGUGGGAACGUGCCCUUCGGUUCGGAAUAACUCAGGGAAACUUGAGCUAAUACCGGAUACGUGCGAGAGCAGAAAGAUUUAUCGCCGAAGGAUCGGCCCGCGUCCGAUUAGCUAGUUGGUGAGGUAACGGCUCACCAAGGCGACGAUCGGUAGCUGGUCUGAGAGGAUGAUCAGCCACAUUGGGACUGAGACACGGCCCAAACUCCUACGGGAGGCAGCAGUGGGGAAUAUUGGACAAUGGGCGCAAGCCUGAUCCAGCCAUGCCGCGUGAGUGAUGAAGGCCUUAGGGUUGUAAAGCUCUUUCGCCAGGGACGAUAAUGACGGUACCUGGAUAAGAAGCCCCGGCUAACUUCGUGCCAGCAGCCGCGGUAAUACGAAGGGGGCUAGCGUUGUUCGGAUUUACUGGGCGUAAAGCGCACGUAGGCGGAUUUUUAAGUCAGGGGUGAAAUCCCGAGGCUCAACCUCGGAACUGCCCUUGAUACUGGAAGUCUCGAGUCCGGGAGAGGUGAGUGGAACUGCGAGUGUAGAGGUGAAAUUCGUAGAUAUUCGCAAGAACACCAGUGGCGAAGGCGGCUCACUGGCCCGGUACUGACGCUGAGGUGCGAAAGCGUGGGGAGCAAACAGGAUUAGAUACCCUGGUAGUCCACGCCGUAAACGAUGGAUGCUAGCCGUUGGGGAGCUUGCUCUUCAGUGGCGCAGCUAACGCUUUAAGCAUCCCGCCUGGGGAGUACGGUCGCAAGAUUA